UCCAGAAAUAUUUGGAUACUGAUAACAUUUUCCAUUUUCAUAAUUUUUGCUCUGUAUGCCACCACAAUUGAUGCAAUCAAAAAUAUUGCAUGAAAUGUUUUACACAAUCCCCUUUUUCACUAGCCCUAAUAUAAUUGGACAAAUUACCACAAUAAUAAACAAAAUGUAAAUUUUUAAUGCUUUGUUGAGAAUCCUUUGCAGACAAUGACUGCUUAAAGUCUGGAGCGCAUAGACAUCACUAAACGCUGGGUUUCCUCCUUUGUGAUGCUUUGCCAUUGCUUUUUUCCGUAAAGAACACUAUAGGGUCAGGAACACACCGUGCAUUCUGGACCCUAUGGUGUUAAUACUAUCUAGCCCCCCUGGCUCCCACUUGCCCCCCUAAAUAUAGUAAAAUUGUAUCUUUAUUUCAGUCUGCUGCUGCUGGCUCUGCCCUGAUCUGCUUCCUUGGCUGACAUUAUCAGAAGUGUUGAUCAAAGCCAAUAACAAAUCUUUCCAAUAGCAAAGAAUUGGAUUGGUGGCUGUCAAGGAGGCAGAGCUAGCACAAGCCAAAAACAGCCCUGGCCAAAUAGCAUCUCCUCAUAUAGAUUAAUUGAAUCAAUGUAUUUCUAUGAAAAAUGUUCAGUGUCUCCACACACUGUGCACCACUGCCCGAGGAAGCACCUCUAGCAGCUAUCUUAGCAGUGGCCAGUGGAGGUAACCCUAGCCUUUGACGUCUAUAAACAGACAGUGUUUAGUGCAAAAAGCCAGAAGGGAAUUAUUAUACUUACCAAAACAAAUACAAUAAGCUGUAGUUGUUCUGGUGACUAUAGUGUCACUUUAUGUUUUUCUUCAGCAAGUAAAAUGCAUGCUCGAUCGGGUUGAGCUCAGGAGAUUGAUUUGGCCAUUACAGAAUAUUCGACUUCUUUUCCUUAAAAAACUCAUGGGUUGCUUUCACAGUAUGUUUUGGUUUAUUGUCCAUCUGUAAAGUUAAGCACCGUCCAAUCAAGUUUGCUAAGUUUGACUGAAUUUAAACAAGACAUUAUAUCCCUAUACACUUCAGAAUUCAUUUGACUGCUUCUGUUUUCUGUCAUGUCAUCAAUUAAAACUAGUAACCCAGUGCCUUUGGAAGCCAUGCAUGCCAAUGCCAUCACAUUGCCCCACCGUGUUUUACAGAUAGUGUGGUGUGCUUUGGAUCAUGAGAUGUUCCAAGCCUUAUCCAUACUUUGUUUUUCAUAUCAUUCACAUCAUUCUAGUACAGGUUGAACUUAGUUUCAUCUGUACAAAGAACACUGUUCCAGAACUCGGCUGGCUUUUUUAGAUUUUUUUUUUUUUUGGCAAAGUCCAAUCUGUCUUUUCUAUUCUUGAGGUUUAUGAGUGGUUUGCACCAUGUGGUGAACCCUCUAUAUUAGCUCUUUUAAAGUCUCCUCUUUAUGCUACACUUCAAUAAUCAUAUGCCUACCUUCUGGAGAGUGUUCUUCACUUGGCUGGAUGUUGUGAAGGGGUUUUUCUUUACCAAUGGAAAGGAUCCUAUGAUCAUCCACAACUGUUGUUUUCCAUGAAUGUCCAGGCCUUUUUGUGUCGCAGAGCUCACCACUGAGUUAUUUUUUUCUCAAAAUGUACCAAACUGUUGAUUUGGCCACUAAUGUUCCUACUUAACUGCUUCCAAAUGCAAAUGCCACAUGUGGAAUCAAUUCCAAACCUUAUACCUGCUUAAUUGAUGAAGAAAUAAUGAAUAGCCCACACCUGUCCUUGAAAUGAGGAAAACGAUGAAAAAACGUUAAAAAAGACGGGGUUACAUAUGAAAGAGCUAUUGUUCUUAAACCUCUCAUUCAAUUUGGAUGUGAAUACUUUCAAAUUAAAGCUGAGAGACUGAAAUUUAAGCCCAUAUUCAUUAGUUAACUGUAACUUAUUUUGGUAAGAACAACCAAAAUUACAAAACUUGUUUCAGUGUCCAAAUAUUUCCAGACCUAACUGUAUAUUCUCUGAAUGUAACAUAAUACAAAUAUUUUUGAUAAACUACAUUGCACAAAAUAUUACAGCUGAAUGCAUAUCGUUGACAUUAUCAAUUAUAUACAAAAAUUAUAAUUAUAGACAUCAUGCAUUUAUAAAACAAAACUGCCUUUUAAUACAUUUAAAAGGUUUUGGGAUGCACAAACAUUAGCUCCAGAUUACUCUUUCUCCUCUGGGUCUAAAUGUUUGUUUGUUUUUGCUGGAAAAAAAGGAAUCUCUUAAUACAGAAAUGCAACUUUAGCAAUAAGAGAUAAUGUAUUCCUACAUACCCACAUUUACUUUUCCUGGUGAUUGGUCAUGGCAGCACAAUAGUGGUUAGCUCCUUUAACCCCCUAAUUAUACAAGAACCUAAUUAAACCAGUGUAUAAAUAACCCCCUGCUUCCCUCAGUCUUUUGCACCAAGCAGUAUCCCCACAGACCUAAUCUUUGCGCUGCCAUGGCCUACAUCCAGUGAAAGAAAAUCAUGGUAAGUAGGAAUACAUGUUUUCUUUUCCUGACCAUAUCCAUGGCAGCACAACAAUGGGUAAUACGAAGACAAAAUACCAGGAAAAAAUAAAAAUAAACGUCCAAAAAAUGAAUUCCAACUUAGUGUAGUCAAACAAACAAGUGCAAUGAUAAUUCAACCUCAACCAUAAACCUGAAGGAAGACUUUGGCCAAGUGUAUCACAAUGUGCACCUCUAACAUACUUAAUACACUUUUUAAUAUAAGUCAAUGUAGCAUCUUUACAGAUUAUCUCCUAAAGAAUUUUAGCCACAGGUGCCCACGAAGCUGAAUUACCUGGUUGGAUAGGCUUUAAGUUCCUUUUGGAACCAGAAUGCCUGAUUAUUGAUAAGCAAGGAUAAUAGCUGAGACAAUUAAUCUGUGGAUGGCUUCCUUUAAUGCUUGAAGGCCUUUCCUGGCCCUGCUGUGAAUAACAAGCAGUCUCAGAUAUGAUUAUUCUGCCUUGUCCAGCUCAGAUGAUUCUAAUGCUGGUAGCACAAUCUUUUAAUGUAGAUAAAAAAGAAGAGGCCACCUUGAGUAGGAUUUCUGAAAUUGUUCUAAGAAUAAUACUGUCCUGAUGAAAGAUUAUAGAGGUAUCUUCUGCAGAAAGGGCUUGAAGUUCUGACUCUGCUCCCUGAAGCUAAUGCCACUAGUAGAACUCUUUUCAUGCUAAGGAAAUGUGGAGAGAUCAAAUCCAGUGGCUGAAAGGAAGAGGAAGCUUUCAGAACUAGUUGAAGAUCUCAAGUAGAGAAAUGGGUUUUAUAGAAAGGAAAAACCAUGAGGACUGGCAUGAGGAAGUCUUUAUCAAAGGCCUAUUUAUGAUUCAUAAGGGCAAAUAAGUUGAACUUUGAACUUACAAUGUGUUAUACCUUAGUCCUUUUUCCAGUCCUGACUGCAGAAAUUCUAAAUUGUCUUUUGUAGUUGGACACUGAACAUAAACAUUCUUUUUCUGAGCCCACACCAAAGAAGCAUUCUAUACAGGACAGUAUAUAGCUGAAGUUGAACAUAUCUUGGCUUUCAUCAUUGUGUUAAUCACCACGGAUGAUUAAAUUUGUUGUUUAAUCUUUCUCUCUCAACUUCCAUGACCUCAACUUCAGGGACAAAGAGUGUGGAUACAAAACCAAGCCCAAGAAGGCAUAGUGCUUUUGGAAAUUCCACUGGUGGCUCCUUACAGAGAUUUUGAAGCAGAGGGAACUACAGUCUGAAAGGCCACAAUGGAUCUCUCAAGACUUUUUCUUGUCACAACCUUCUCAAGAGUAGAAGCAUGAGUGGAAUUGGUAGUUUGAACUCCCAUUUGUACAACAAGGUGUUCCUACAUUUGGCUUGAGGGAUGAAGGUACUGAACAAGGACUUGGGAAGUUUCUUGUUGUUGCAAAUUCGCCAUCAGUUCUACCCCUCGUCAAAAAAAUUGUCUAGACUCUGCUGAGGUAGUCUGCUACAGUGUCCUCUUGUCAUGGUAAAUGGAUCACCACCAGACCCAGGAAAUUCAUUUGUGCCCAGGAUAUCAGUGACUUGCAUCUGUUGUGAGGAGAAUCCCUGGAAAUGUUCUUUUCAUGAAGCCACCACAAAAGGAAGUGAUGAACUUUGGGCACAAUUAUCAUGAGCUGUUGUAGGCUGCUGUUUUGAACCAAUGUCGGAAAGUCUCUUUUAGGGUUCUCAUUCUCCAAAGUUCUCACCUCUUCAGUCCUUUGGUAGAGGACAUAGAACCCAACAGGCUCAUGACUUUAUCUGCUGAGGCCACACUGGCAGCCAAUUUCUUUGACAUUUGCCUGAAGUCUUCUCCCUCGGUCUUGCAUUAACUGUACAAUGCUGUUUAUUAUAUUGAAGAGUGCUCCUAGGCAGAUCAUAUUCUGAGUAGGAGAUAGGUGACUCUAGUCUAUAUUUAUUUCCCAGCCAUGAUGUUGUAGGAAGUGGAUUCAAUGAUUUCAGUGAUUUAAAAGUGUGGCUUUGUCAUUUGCAAGGAUGAUGAUGUCCAGAUAACGGUAUAUCACAACACCUUGUUUCCUCAGUUCUGCAAUUCGUACAAUAACCUUGAAAAAGGUGCAUAGUGCUGUUCUUAGAUCAAAGAUAAGGGCUCUGAAUUGAAACACCACAUUUAGAAUAGACUGUAGAGAUUCCAUUUGAACUUCCACAUUCUCAGGUAUCCAUUAAGUUAGCGAAGAUGUAGGAUUGGUCUCCACCCACAUCCCCCAAUGCUUUCCUGGUUUAGGAACAGGUGAGAGUAGAAAUCAAAGGUUUUCUCUUAUACUGGGACUCUAACGACUCCUUCCUGAUCCAAGGAUGAGAGGAAUAUGUGAAGAGUGAUUCUUUUCUCUUUGUAUUCUGAAUGUUUCAAAUUCUAGAUAAUAGCCUCUUUGUACAAUAUGCAAGACCCAUUUAUCUUGAACUGACUUUUUUUUCUCUGAACAGGAUCUGAUGUGUGCAUUCCCCUCCAGUUUGGGAGCACCCAAUCAUAAGCAUUUGGAAUUCUUGGUAGUCAUGCUUCCUCUGGACUUAUUGCCUCUGGCAGUAGAAUGUCAUCCUCUCCAUGGAUGAGAUCUACCAUACUCUACUUCAGGAAAAUGUGCUCUGCUGUCUCAAAAGGAUAAAUACCCUCCUGGUCCUGUCUGUAAAUGUUUUUCUUUUGUCUUCAAUUUUGAGGUAUAAAUACAUUUCUUCCUUCAGCUGCUCACUUUAUACAUGCAUUCAAGUAUUUCCAACAUUUGCCCUGGAAAUUGUAGGGAAUAUAGACUAUUCUUGAAAGAAGCAUCUAUAAUUCAUGAUCUAAGCCAUAUGGCAAUCUUGGCUGAAACAAAAAGGGCAACAUUUCUGGAUAAUGAUUUAACCAUAUCCAUUGAAUCCUCUGUUGUAAAAUUUGCAGUCAGUUUAAUAUCCUGUAGGCUUUCAAUAGCAGAAGAAUGGCUCCUUCCAUCUAUGAUUUUUAAUCCAUAUCUUUUGAGACCCAAGAUACAGAAGUUAGGACUCCCGCAAGAUGAACACUAUCUUAGUGAGCUCUUUAGUUGAAUUGUCCACCGGGAGUUUUUCUUCUUGAAGACAGUUCAUCUUUUGGCAACUCCUUCAUUCUUAGGGAACUGCACACUCUGGAUAUAAAAUGAUCCACACUUGAUGGAUCCAGAAUUUCUGGUUAAAGAACUACCUCACAUACAGAUGACAAAAUGGCUUUCUUAUGUGUAUUCCUUUACAUGAGAUCAUCAAACAUCUCCUCCUGUGACCACUCUUUGUUUAAUAUUCCAAUAAUAAAGCCAAUAAAAGGAAAACAAUAAAACAUGAUUUACCAAUGGCUCCUAGAGUGUGAUCUUUGAUUAUAAGCAGAUGAAUCUGAAUCUAUUAUUGCAAUUUUGUUCAAAUACAAAUAUUAUAAUACACCACUAGCAAAAAAAAAAAUAUCAUAAUGAAUAAAAAAGGGUAAUACACAUUUAAAAGUAAUAUACCUUUAAAACUUUCCCAAUAAAUCCAACAACAAAGUACUGGAAAAUACCACAAGUUUACUAAUAGCGUCUAUGGACACACUCAGAACCCAACUAGGGAUUAUCCCAGUAUCCAAAAACUCAAUUUUGGUGCAGUGAAGGGACAAAUGACAUCCCCACUCAUGCACAGUAGCACUAGACAGAUAUCAUUAUCAAGGAGAUUAUAAAACAUCAAGGACACUCCCAAAAAAGUUACAAAUUUGACCAAAUCCAGCUGCAAUGCAUAGAGAAUGAUAAAAAAGACCCCAAGGGAAGCUAAAAGGAUAAACUAAAAUGGAAGAAAAAACAUGGCCAGGAUGAAACAGGUAUGAAAUUGUAAUAACAGGAGGAGAUAUAACAGGGCAUUUCCCAGGGCAUAAAUAGACUUAAUGGGACUCUGGUCAAGUCCCAUUAAUCCUAAAGAGGAGCCUUCAGGGGGACACCUUUGCACAGGGCCAUAUCCUGAGGCUGAAAUGGGGCAGAGAUAAAACCCAUAGUUAAGCAAAAGUUAAUUAGAAAUGUCAUAACAUGGCUCUAUUGUCUUAUAUUGGAUAGAACAUGAACAAAAAGACUGAAGGAAUAGGUGCAGAAGGGGGUAUUUAUACUUGCUUUUAAUUAGGUUCCUGUCUAAUUAUGGAAUGGGAGGAGCUAUCAAUUGUUGUGCUGCCAUGGAUACGGUGAAAAUAAGAUUAGCUAGAAGAAUACAGGUCACAAACUGUACUGUAAAUCAUUAAUCAAAAGCUGAAUUCUUAAAGGAGAUGUUUUUCGUACUACCUUUUAGUACUUUGUGUAGAUAUUUGUAUAAAAAAAGUUCUUUAACUUUAGUGAAUAUUUAUAUUGUUAUUUUCUUUCUAUUUAUGAUUCAUAGCUAUUUUUGCAUGCAUUUUGCACACUAGAUUGUGUAAAUUAUUUAUAUUUAGUGUGCUUUGCUAUGCAAUCACAUAAUGCCAUAUCUUAGUUAAUUAAUUUGUGCAAAAAGUGUGAUACUGUAUAAAUCUUACUGCACAGCUUUUCAAAAGAAUGAUAUUCUACAUAGCUUUUUUACAGUGCUUUGCUAAACCAUGUAAUAAUAGUAAGUCUUCCUUGGGAAUAAUGAUCCACUCUUAUAGAGGACAGUUUCUGUUUACUCUUUUUUAAAGAUGACAUUGAAUGUUUAUUGCACUUUAGUGCAGUGAUGUGGCAAUAAGACCUUAAAACUAAUAGAGGUUGUACAUGGCAGGUGCAUGUGUUGCUUUAUAUCAUUUAGCUUAAGCUCUUUAUUUUAUGUCAGAUUGUAAUUCUGUUAAAUUAAUAAAUCUUAAAAGAAAACUUCAAUAAUUGUGAUGUGCCUCUCUUUAAUUAUCACUAGCAAUAAAAACUGAUUAGAAUGGAAACACAUUAGCUAACUUACUGAACCUUAGAAUAGCCAGACUUAAUACAUAAUUAGUCAGAGAGAUAGCCGAGGUCAAGCGUAGGAGAAAACAGAGUAAACGGUAGACAAGCCAAAUAUUAGACACACAGAGAAUAAAAUCAAUUGUAAAUGAGCCAAUGGAUCAAAGUAUUAACAAACGCACUAUUGGGCUAAAGAAGAAUCACAACAGGGUGAUUGGGACAACAAAGCCCGGGGUUUAAAUAGGC